rnacentral:tRNA from 1 species
GUUGAGAUGGCCGAAUUAGCGUAAGACGCUAUAUUAAUAAGUAAGUGGGUUCAAAUCCCAAAGGGCGUGGGUUCAAAUCCCACUCUCAACA